GCCUGGGUGGCUCAGUCGGUUGAGCGUCCGACUUCGGCUCAGGUCAUGACCUUACGGCCUGUGAGUUCGACCCCGUUUCAGGCU
rnacentral:tRNA from 1 species